ensembl:lncRNA
UCAUAACAGAGGAAGAGAGUUACACUGGGCGUUUUGACAAUCGGCCCUUUCUCAUUUGGAUUUUCUGACCCCGGCACUCACACGCUCCGGCCAACUUAGGGGAUCGUUUGUAAAAAUCUUCUCCUCCGGCCCAUAAGACUGCCGCGAUGCUGAUUUUCGUGUGUGUGUGUCAUAAAAAAAAAACAGCGAAUUCAUGAUUGCGGGGAAAGGGAACCAUCGGCCCAAACGGGGGUCCCAUCUCCCCCUUGCCCAGAAUGCAAAAUACGGUCUCUGUCUAGAUGCGACUCCUUCACACAGGGAGGACUGGACGUCCCUCCUGGAGCGAAGGGAGAGUAUUUUAUUUGAAAAAAAGGAAUCCUUGCGUGUAUAUAUAUAUAUAUUUUCUGGAGGCAGAAGGAUAAUGGACUAGGGAAUUGGCUUGCCUGCAUCUGCUAAUUUUGAAGAGAGAGAAAAGCAUCGUCCGUUGCGCAAGCCAGAAAAUAAUUAGUAUUUAAAUGGAAGAAAAAGGGAACAGUAAAAUAAAGUCACUUCUGGUGUUUUCAGAUGGGCAUCCAUGCCCCUUUCCCAGUUUUCUGGGCCAUUCCUUCAAUCCGACGUAGAUCCCACAAGGGCCUGAACGAUCAGACCCAAGGAUUUCCCUCCGCGUGUCAUUUAAUGGAACAAAAAUUUUUGGCACGUAGAUUGAAUUAAAAGAUGGCGCUCAGUAAACAAGUAUUUGGCGCAUGAGGCGAAGGUGUUGGUUUACAAGUGCCCUGAACGAGGCCUUUCGUCCAGAUUUGCAAGCUCUGAAGAUUCAUAAAUGGAUAACCGGCAAGGGCAGGAAGGGCAGGACGCCCCACGACGUGCAGACAGAAAAAUCCAUAUUAUUUCCUUUGAGUUUAUUUGUCUGCCUAAUUAAAAUGUGUAUGUGUGUAUGUGUGUAUGCUUUAAUCCCUUGCAAUAUUAGAUCAGGGUUUUCAUUCUGUCCGGACCAAGCCUGUUUAAACAGAAAACGAGCAGAAAUGCCAAAAAACAAAAAGCAAAAAAAGGGGGGCGGGAGACAAUAAAAAUAAGGGCUUUGGGGGUUUAUAUGGGGGGAUAACGGGAGAAAGGACCUUUUUUACGAGUGAUUGGCAGCUGACUUCGUGAGUCUGCUCCGAGCAAGGGCGUCAUCUAGCGGCAGCCUUGGCAAUUGCAACCAAGAUAUUUGGAAUAACUUUAAGGGCUUUUUAAUCCCCAAAUUCACUUUUUCUUCUCUCCAGCCGUUGCUGAAGUCCUUCCGUUUGCAAAAUGCUAGCGUUAAAUGGUGAUCAAACGUUGGUUAGUCCCCCCACCACGAUUCCUUAACCUGUCUUUUAAAUUCUUGGCUUCCCUGUGAGCACUGAAGGAUGAAAAAUUCACUGGGAACUAUUUAUUUUCCAUUAGUCAAAAGUGAAGAUCGGGGUGCCUUUUUUUUUUAAACAAACGGGUUUAAUUUUUUUUCUCCAGUGAUCGCACGAGAUCCUUUCGUUUUCCGACUAGAAUUACAGUAUAUAUAGAAUAUAGAGAACAAGCGACUUCAGCUUGGAUGGUGAGAAUUUCUUGCCAGCGGUGGAAAACACCAUCAUGCUUCUUCCCUCCCACCAAUGUUGGUCUGUGUUCUGUGCAUUUUGUUUUCUUAACCCCUCAAUCGUAAAAUGCAAAGAAAACAGAGCAUCCGAAGCAAAACACGCUUUGCACAUUGCCAGAAGCGCUGCCGUUUACACCAGGGUAAAAAAAUGUUUUGAUAGUCCCCGGCGCUGUUGCCUGACCUUUUUCUGAGUUUUCUAAAAGAACGAUUUUGCAUUUAAAAAAAAUACAGUUCUAGGCAUAUGAGAAGAACGUGGAGAGGCUGCGUGGCGCUUCAAGGAGAUAUAAAAAUAUUUUAAAUAAAUAAAAAUAUUUUAGGGAUGGGGGUUGCCUU